UAAUAAGUGUUUUAUGGCACUUUUUAAAUCCAUAUCCACCUUGUGUGCAAUGUCAGUCGAUCUUCUUCAUGGAGAUCGACCAAACAUCAACCUUUAUCUUUUAAUCUCUUUGUCUGAAAAAUAUUAUGAAUAAACAAUUCAAAAUA
rnacentral:misc_RNA from 1 species